AGGAGGCAGCAGUGAGGAAUAUUGCGCAAUGGGGGAAACCCUGACGCAGCAACGCCGCGUGAAGGAUGAAGGUUUUCGGAUUGUAAACUUCUUUGAUGAGGGACGAAUAAUGACGGUACCUCAAAAACAAGCCACGGCUAACUACGUGCCAGCAGCCGCGGUAAUACGUAGGUGGCGAGCGUUGUCCGGAAUUACUGGGUGUAAAGGGCGUGUAGGCGGGUUGACAAGUCAGAUGUGAAAUUCCCAGGCUUAACCUGGGCGCUGCAUCUGAAACUGUUAAUCUUGAGUGCUGGAGAGGAAAGCGGAAUUCCUAGUGUAGCGGUGAAAUGCGUAGAUAUUAGGAGGAACACCAGUGGCGAAGGCGGCUUUCUGGACAGUAACUGACGCUGAGGCGCGAAAGCGUGGGGAGCAAACAGGAUUAGAUACCCCCGUAGUCCU
rnacentral:rRNA from 1 species